rnacentral:lncRNA from 1 species
AGGCACCGGAGGAAUGAUGGCAUUGCCGUGCCGGAAGUAAAAAACAACGCUGGUAAGCACAGUUUUCUUCUAUUCUUCCUAUUUUUUUAUUCAAGACCAUUUAAAACUAUUUUUGAUAUAGAAUAAUCCAAGAAAAGUUAUAACCCAAGGAGAAGAAUGAUGGAGAAGAGGGAGCAGACGACAUAGCUCGGUUGUGCCAUCGUGCUAGAGACCCAAAACUGGCCUUGGUAAUCAUUUUCUUUGCUAUUUCUCUCUCCUAUUCGCCCUUCCAUUAUCCUUUUAACAAAUACCUUCAAUUUCACAUGAAAAUUCGAAACUCAGGACCAUCACACUCGGCCGUGACAAUUGACGAGGAUACGCGGUGCUUUACCUCCGAAUUGAGGUAAAAAUACCUCAAUCACUCCCUUCGUAAAGGAUUAAU